UUUGUGUAUAUUUUAUGUAGUGAUGGCAAAAUGAAGCCCCAUAAAGCAGUGAAACCCUGCAGGGAAAUACUUCACACACGCUUCGGGGCUUCAAGAUGAAUCAUUUCCUCGACGACACCAUCAUGUGGACAGGAAA